rnacentral:rRNA from 1 species
CAGUAGCCGCGGUAAUACGUAGGGGGCAAGCGUUAUCCGGAAUAACUGGGCGUAAAGGGUGCGCAGGUGGUUUAACAAGUUAGUGGUGAAAGGCAUAGGCUCAACCAAUGUAAGCCAUUAAAACUGUUUAACUUGAGUGCAGGAGAGAAAAGUGGAAUUCCUAGUGUAGCGGUGAAAUGCGUAGAGAUUAGGAGGAACACCAGUGGCGAAGGCGGCUUUUUGGCCUGUAACUGACACUGAGGCGCGAAAGCGUGGGGAGCAAACAGGAUUAGAUACCCCUGUAGUCCCUGUCUCUUAUACC